AGUGAACGCUGGCGGCAGGCCUAACACAUGCAAUUCGAACGGCAGCACAGAGGAGCUUGCUCCUUGGGUGGCGAGUGGCGGACGGGUGAGGAAUACGUCGGAAUCUGCCUAUUUGUGGGGGAUAACGUAGGGAAACUUACGCUAAUACCGCAUACGACCUACGGGUGAAAGUGGGGGACCGCAAGGCCUCACGCAGAUAGAUGAGCCGACGUCGGAUUAGCUAGUUGGCGGGGUAAAGGCCCACCAAGGCGACGAUCCGUAGCUGGUCUGAGAGGAUGGUCAGCCACACUGGAACUGAGACACGGUCCAGACUCCUACGGGAGGCAGCAGUGGGGAAUAUUGGACAAUGGGCGCAAGCCUGAUCCAGCCAUGCCGCGUGUGUGAAGAAGGCCUUCGGGUUGUAAAGCACUUUUGUCCGGAAAGAAAAGCUUAGGGUUAAUAACCCUGAGCCAUGACGGUACCGGAAGAAUAAGCACCGGCUAACUUCGUGCCAGCAGCCGCGGUAAUACGAAGGGUGCAAGCGUUACUCGGAAUUACUGGGCGUAAAGCGUGCGUAGGUGGUUUGUUAAGUCUGAUGUGAAAGCCCUGGGCUCAACCUGGGAAUGGCAUUGGAAACUGGCUUACUAGAGUGCGGUAGAGGGUAGCGGAAUUCCCGGUGUAGCAGUGAAAUGCGUAGAUAUCGGGAGGAACAUCCGUGGCGAAGGCGGCUACCUGGACCAGCACUGACACUGAGGCACGAAAGCGUGGGGAGCAAACAGGAUUAGAUACCCUGGUAGUCCAUGCCCUAAACGAUGCGAACUGGAUGUUGGGGGCAACUUGGCCCUCAGUAUCGAAGCUAACGCGUUAAGUUCGCCGCCUGGGAAGUACGGGUCGCAAGACUGAAACUCAAAGGAAUUGACGGGGGCCCGCACAAGCGGUGGAGUAUGUGGUUUAAUUCGAUGCAACGCGCAGAACCUUUACCUGGCCUUGACAU
rnacentral:rRNA from 1 species